ACCUGUCCAUGAUUAGUUAGAAAAGUGGGAGAGCAUACGAUAUGAUGAUUUUGCAGAGGAUUACAGCCAGGAAAUGAUUAACUAAAGUCUAAAACCCAUCAUCGUUAUAGGAAACACUCUGAGCAUGCUUAACUAUACUAACUGGUCAAAGUUGUUAGUGCCCAACAAUGUGUAAUUUGACAUAUAGUCUUCUUUUAUCUACAUAGACUAAUGGAGGCACACAUGAGCUAGUGCAUAAAUCAAACAUGACACCUUCAAGGGAUGACAUACUCUGAAUGAUUCAUACGCCGGUUAACAUCAACGGUAACUGAACUCGAUCGAGAAAGAUGAAC
rnacentral:lncRNA from 1 species